CCGGAUGUAGCCAAGUGGAUCAAGGCAGUGGAUUGUGAAU
rnacentral:tRNA from 1 species